UAGGGGAAAGGUCCCGCCGGUGGCGGCGGGGAAGUCUCGGGUUGGGGACGCCGCCCCGAGUGUUGUGAACCGGCAGCGUGCGGCGCAGGGCUCGUCCCUGCGUUCGUCCGCCUGUUUUAAAUGUCAGUGUACCCACACGCGGCUCCUGGAGUGCGUGCUUGGCUGGGAAGAGGACUGAUCUCCGGCAGCCGCAGGGACAUUUCUGCGAGUCUCACAGGGGACGCCUCCUCUGCAGGCCCCUGGGGCUGGCUGUUCGGCACGGCGUAUCUGAACUCGGACCCUUCCCUGCCGAAUCACCCCUCUGGGAGGUCCGAAGGCGCCCUGUGUGUCUCGAUGAGGCUGAGGCAGGAGGACAGGCUACGUUUGAGAUCAGCCCAGGCUACACAGCAAGACUUGGUCUCUAAAAGACAGAAAAAGACCUGGAAGGGGAGUGAUGUGAAUGUGAACAGAAGGUGGACGCAGGCGAGUCGGCCCGUCAGGGGACCUGGUGGCCUAUCCCUGUAAAGAUGGUCCUUGGGGACAGGUGCCUGCAGGCAGUGGUGCAGUUUUGGGACUAUGGGUUUCCAAAGCGGCGAGAGCCCCCUCCUGGACAACUGGAGAAACUCAGGAGAGAGCAAGAGAGCCCGCCUGCGAGGUUACCUCCUUCCAGGUUCCCCUUUGGGCUUCCUUUUCACAGUCUUGACCGUGGGAUGGGGUAGGGGGGGGGCGGCUUGUCUCCCCCGGCAUCCUGGGCU